ensembl:lncRNA
AGGAAACUGAUCCCAUCCGUCUUUUCAUUGGACAUGAGUGUGUAUAUUUUGGGUGCAUCUACUUUAUGCCUAAUCUUGCCCUGGAAGCUGUGGGUUCAGCCAAGAAUCAGACCCUCCAGAGCUCAGGCGAGGGGCUUCGAGGUCUCAAUACAGAGUCUAGCUAGUGAGAUGGACUUGAAGAAACACAUGGCCUAUUGGCCUGGUACCAAACAUGGAGGCCUGUUCCUACUCAGGCCCAGAGAAUUUAGCCCGCUAAUUCACUCACUCAUUCAUUCGCUCACUCAUUCAUUCACUCACUCCCUCAUGCACUCAUUCACUCACUCCAUGCACUCUUUCACUCUCUCACUCACUCAGAAGUCAGUCAUUCACUCACUCCAUGCACUCAUUCACUUACUCACUCAUGAAGUCAGAUUCAUUCACGCAUGCCAUACACUCAUUCAUUCUUACACUCACUCAUGCACUCAUUAAUUCACUCACUUAUGCAGUCAUUCACUCACUCACAGACUCAUUCACUAAUGAAUUCAAAUUCAUUCACUCACUCAUGCACUCAUUCAUUCAUUCACUUGCUCAUUCAUUUCCUAAUCCAUUCCCUCACUCAUUCAUUCAUUAUCCCACUCAUUCACUCACCCAACCCCUUUGCCUCAAGCUGUACCCACCCUGCGCUAAGACCUGGGGUACAAUCUUGAACAGGAGAAACCCAGUUAGGGCCUCACAGAGUUGAGGGUCUAAAAGGAGAGGCGGACGAUCAACACAAAAGUAGAUGAAACGGUUCUGGGGGGGGAUGAGUGCCGUGAAGACAGUCAAUUGGAUGAAGAAUUAGAGUAACUGAAGGGGUGGUAAGUGUUAGGAAGGCACCCAAGGAGAUUACACGUAGUCAGAAAGAUGAGAAAGGGCCAGACAACAGCAUGUGCAAAUCUUGCAGAGCUGGAAGAAUGGAGCAGUGCAGGGGUUGCUUGAGGGCCUGUUUGGACCCUCUGUGGCUCUCAUGAGGUUGGGGUCAUGGUCAGGCCGAGACCUACAUGGCCUGUAUCUGUAAUGAAGGAUUUGGGCUUUCCUCCUGGAGCCGGUGCCCUCUCCCAAGCAAGGAGCCUUUCUUGGAAACAUUCCAGUUCACAGACAGCUGUGACGCUCGUCGAGGCCCUUCCUGCUCCCUGGGUGGGGCCAGGCACCUGUUACCAAUCCCUGCUCUCCCGAGUCAAGGAGGGCGGCCUUCCUCAGAGGACAGAGCUGUGGGGAGUGGCGUCCUUGGCUGGGCCUCACAUUCCUCGGACCAUGCGUCUCUUCUCCCGGGCUGGGGGGCUUAUGAAACCAUCUGUCCUAUGGCAGAGAAAGGUGCUGAGAUUGGCCUGAGGUCACUCAGCAGGCCCUUGGGGAAGAUGGGUCUAGAAUUCAGCCUCUUCUCUAGUUUCUGGCCAUGAUCCUCCAUCCUUGGUUGUCUGUAGGCAGCGUACAUGGCCCCUUCUGUUCCUCAACUCUUUGCCCAGCUUGGGCUUGAGUAAAGCAAAGUGUGGUGAAAGAGCAAGGUUUUUGCUACAGUUUUCUUUUAUUAAUGUCUAAUGUUCCCUUUUCUGUAAUCAUUCAUCCAUCCAUUCAUUUGUUCCAUGCAAUCACUUAUUCAAUUGAUUAAAGGAUUACAAAGCACCCACUCUGUGAAUUACCAGGAAGGACAGACUCCAGGAAGGAAGUAGAGACUCUGUUUUCUAAGAGCUCACACCCCAGUCGAGGGGUCAGGGCAUGGCGGAGGGCAGAAAAGAUGAGAGAGACAAUUACAAACGGUUCCCAUACAAUGCGCCAGGAUCAUAUAAAACACAAAAACAAAUUACUGCCAGAGUAGAGAGGACAAAGUAACUAAGUGCUUGGGGAGUUGUGAAGGCUUCACUGAAGAGGUGACAUUUGAGCUGGGCCUUGGAGGAUCAAUAGACAUUUGCUAAGCAAGUCACGUAGGAGAUUGGUGAUCUGGAUAGAGGGGCCCGCAUGCGCAAAACACAGCAACAUAGGAAGGAAACAGGAUGGGACCAGGCUAAAUUAAACAAUAGCUGGAGUUCCCAUCGUGGCACAGUGGUUAAAGAAUCCGACUAGGAACCAUGAGGUUGCAGGUUCAAUCCCUGGCUUCGCUCAGUGGGUUAAGGAUCUGGUGUUGCCGUGAGCUGUGGUGUAGGACGCAGACGCAGCUCGGAUCUGGUGCUGCUCUGGCUGUGGUGUAGGCUGGCAACCACAGCUCGGAUUAGACCCCUAGCCUGGGAACCUCCAUAUGCCACGGAUGUGGCCCUAGAAAAGACAAAAAAGACAAAAACAAACAAACAAACCAAACCAACAAAAAAACAACUGGAGUGAUGAAUGUCUGUGUGCCUGCAUAUAUUUAAUUUUCACAAGCUGCAGAAGUAUCAUCUUAUGGAUGGCGAAUUUGAAACUCAGAACAGUGAAGUCACAUGCCAAAGGUCACACAGCUGGUAAGAGGCAGAGUCAAGAUUCAGACUGGGUCUGCCUGACUCUGCUAUCCUCUUACUCCUCUGUCUCAGGUUGAGACAUAAGAAUAAGGACAAUCACACCAAGGAACAUCAGGGAACCCUAACUUGUUCCAGAAUCUGCAAUGAGGUGGCCGGUAGUUUGGUGGAGGAAAUUUCUGUUAUCUUCCAGGUCCCGUUUCCUUGCUCUCCCUGUCAGGACUGAAGUCUUGGGUCCUGGCAUGGCAGAACCCUCUUCCAGAAUCCCUCUCUUCAUCCAUCCACACCAGCAGGCCUGGUCUCAUCAAUCUCGAGUUAAGACGGGCCACAGGAGGAACUGACAUGGCCUUAUUUCCAAAGAUAUUCCUGCGCCCCGAGCUGAGGUCUCAGAAACAAGCAAGGGGCCCCCACAGAGGUGCUGACAGGGGCUGCUGACCAGCCUGAUCUCCGAAGCCAGGCAGCAGACUAAUUACAGGCCGGCUCUGUAAUGAGAGGUGAGCAGGCUGGUUGACAAGGAGUGGCCCCGGGGUAGAGGGGAGCAGGCGGUGUCCGGGCCUGCAGGAGUGCUCCAGUGGGGCCACCAGCUCAGCGUCUAGCUGGCUCCGGACCACACGCACACAGGCCCUCGAACGGAUGAAGGCAAGAUGGGAAAGAGAGCCGUGCCGAACACUGGCCAUGGGCCAGGUGGUAAGCUGAGCCUUUGCCUCCACUUUCUCUUGUGAUCCCCCAACCACCCAGAGGAACAGGUGGAAUUUACUCUGUUUUACAGAGGAGAAAAUGAGGACUUCCAGAAGCGAAGCAAAUUGUUCUGACACCUAAAAAUGGUAGAAUGAUGAUUCAAACUUAGGUCUGGGGGAAUCCAAAAGCCUGUUUUCUUCUAAGGGGGAACUGAAGGGAGAGGUGGGUCCAUUUUGGAUCUGGGAAACCAUGGGAAGAGAGGAGAAGCAAAAAGCAGACACGAGGUUGGCUGGGGGCUGGCUGGGGAGCCCCCGUCCCUGUGCGCGGGGAACAGAGCCCAGGGCAGCCUUUCCGAUGUUAAAGGCACAGGGUGACAUUGGAGGCUGAGUGGUUUGGUUGCACACCAAGGGCUCUUGUACUUUGCUUUUCUUUCUUGGAUGCCUUCCUCUGCUUUUCUUUGGGGUACAGAUCCCUAGGAGAGCAAACCUCUGCUCAACCUCUGAACCAGGCUGAGAUCGCCUCCCCUCUGACAGUCCUCAGAAACUCCAUCCACACGUGUCUUCCUCCUUGGAGGGUCCAGGUGGUUCUUCCAGAAGAGAGCCAGGCCCCCUGGGGCCUUAGGGCCUGUUUAGGAGAGAUUUCAGCUGUCAGGGUCUUGGCUGCAUCUGUGUGGGCCAGGAAGCACUGACUAACCUCCCAGAGCAAAUGCCGGGCCCUCGUGGCAGAAAAGCGGCCCCCACCGCAGUCCAGGCGCUCUCGGCCCCUGUCGGCAGCAUUACCUGCCCCCGAUUCAGCUCCGGGUCUGCUGAGAGGGCUGUGGGUGCAGCUGCUUCCUGGGCUCAGGUCACCGCAUAAGCCCCAAGCUCUGGCUGGAGCCUGGCUCUCCCAGCCCUGCAGGACUCUUCACAGUACGUUUUGAGCAUGUUUUAGGGGCUUAUGAGAGAGCUUCUCACUCAUGAAAUGUCCACUGACAGCCAGCAAACACCUUUCUGUGUCCAAGAUGCUCCUCUGCCUAUUCCAGUGACCUGGCUGGGGGAGUGAAAGUUGAAGCACAAUAGACCCUUUGAGUUCCCGCUCCUGGCUUUGCAACGUCUUAGCUGAAUGACCUCGGCCAUUUGAUCUCACCUCCAGGAGCUUCCAGUGUAUCCUCGGGCAUAAACUGGGGGUGAUCAUUGUUCACCCUCCCAUUUGUUCACAAUAGUGCUCAAAGUUGUGUAAGGCCUCCGGCUCUGGGAAAAGAGGUCUCAAUUCAAAUUCUGGCUCCGCUGCCUGCCAGCAGGGUCAUCUUGGGCACCUUGUUUGGCCACACUAAGCCUCAGUUUCCCCAUCUGUAAAAUGGGGAUAAUGAGAGUCUCUAAGCCACAGGCUUGUGGUAAAAUCAAAUACCAUUUCAAGUGUUCCAUUAGCCAUUUAAUGUCUCUUCAUUGAGCACCGACUCAGAGCUCACCUGCAGAUGCAACAGCCCUGAAGAUGCCGGGCUACUUGCCUUUUCCUCCUUUUUAGGGACACCAUCUACUCAGACACAAAUAAUUAUCUUUCAUCAUCCAGGAGUCAGAAGAGAUGCUGUUGUGUUAGUUGCAAAAAGGGAAACGUCCCAUGACAGUAGCUAAGGAAGCAGGCCAAGAGGGCAGGGCGUUCUGUCAGCAGCAUGAAAGCUGGCGUAGAAGCUGAACUCACUAAUGUCUACAUGUGGAGAUGUCACACAGUAGGUCUUCAGAACUGGGGUGGCUGGCAAGGGCAACAAGGGCCUCUGUUUCCAUCCAGAGGGGUGGGUUUCAUUCGUGGUACCAGCGGAUGAGCUGUAGGAUGGGCCCCCCCGGGGAAAACAGGUGGUGGUGCUGAGGGUCUGGAAGAAGGCUGGUGCUAAAGGAGAUAGGAAGGGGGCGUGUGGAUUUUGUUCGCAGAGGCUCAAAUCACAUCUUGUCAGCCCUGGCCACUUCCUCCUUGUGCAAAGGCAGAAGCAGCUGGCAUUGCCACGGCAACCAGGCAGCAUCCAUUUUCCAAUUUGCCCUUGAAUUUUCUCUAACAAUGGCAGAGCCACUGAAAACAUGUCUAGAAAGUGAGAGCCACGAACAGAAAAAUCACACCAGGGAACCACGGGGAGCUGACAAGGAACGGCGGUCAUAUCUCCUAUCUUUUCGGUUAACCAGGAAUGCAGCCAAAAGACAUGGGAUCAACCCAAAUUCAGGCCGAGAGAAAGAAAGACUGAGAUCCCGAGAGCAGGGAUUACUCUUUGCAUUGAGAUCACGGGUACUGACUGCUGUCUGCCAGGCUCUGGGUUAGAUGCUGGAGUGAGAGGCUAAGGUGAUGAGUGGUUAUGGGUGGGAUGGAAGCACUGGGAACCUAGAUUGGAGGGGACUUCAUUAGAAGAUUUCAGAGAUUCAGAUGCCCAGCACGUUCGCUAGUGCUAGGUACUUGGCAUCAGAAAGGUGGCUCCAUAUCCAUCAUCCCAUCCACCCGAGGAAGGUCCUGGGCUCUCCUCACCAUUUUAGAAUCAGCCGUGUUAGUAACUGUAAGUACUAGGAGCCACAUUAUUCAAAGUAAGAAGAAACAGAUAAAAUUCAUUUUAAUCAUAUAUUUAGUCAUAUAUAUAUAUGAUUAUACAAUUCAUAUAUAUUCUGUUUGCCCAGAAAACCCUAACACAAUGGGUUUUCAUUAGCCACUUCUUGAGUAAACAGGAGGAAAAUUAAUUUAUGUUUUCCCUAAAAGUCAGGAAGAAAUACAGUGUUUAAAGAAAGAACAGGGAGAACUCAAAAUGGCAAUCAAUGAGAAUCUUUCCUCUGAACAGAUAUUGGAGACACUAGAAUUCUGAGGGGGGGAUGGCUUUAAAGUUGAGUAUGGGGUGGGGCAGGGAUGGGGUGCGAGGCUGUGCUGGUGGGGAGGGCGGUAAGAAGGCUGACCCUCAGAGCGAUGCCAGACGGGAUCAGCGGGAAUCGGACACAGACAGUGGGGAGGGCAGGAGACGGAAACCGAGUUAUCGAGCUGAACAGCUAGGCUGGGGCCCCGGAGAGUGUGAAUGGAGACCCCCAGGGUUGGUGGCAGUCCUGGCGCACAAUGAAUUUUUAUUGGGACUUUGCUUGACUAUUGGUACCUCGGGGCAAAUGAACCAGACACCUGAGGAACAGGAACCUGAAAUAAAGGGGUCCCACAGGGGACUCAGAGAGUGGAUGAGCUCCCCAAGGAGAAGACCAAGGCCUGGGAUGGAUCCCUGGAGACACUAGUGCUGGGAAGCGGAGACAAGGAGCCAGCCAGAGGGAGGAAGGGGCUUGGCUGGCAGUGCCAUGCAAGCCCUGCCAGGAACAUGGGUUCAUUCCUGAGACACGUCCCUGCUCAGGGGACACAGAGGCAGCUCCCUUACAACCACUGUGUGCUCUUGGCAGUGACUUCUCUAAGCCAAGCUUCCUGAUCUGUAAGUCACGGGUAGUAAUUGCCUCCACAGAGUUACUGUGAAGAUCAGAUGGGAUUAUAAUUGCUAAGCAUGAAGCACAUCAGAGGUGCUUGAUAAACCUCUUGGACUUCCUUUGUCAGCCCUCCGUCUUAGAGCACAUGCCCCAGGUGGCCCCUGCAUUCAGGGAAGAGCACACUGGCCUUUCCUCCCUCUAAAAGCCAUCAGUGGGAGUCCUCAUUGUGGCGCAACAGGUUAAGAAUCCGACUAGUAUCCAUGAGGAUGCUGGUUCGAUCCCUGGCCUUGAUCAGUGGGUUAAGGAUCUGGCACAGCUGUGAGCUGUGGUGUAGGUUGCAGACGUGGCUCAGACCCCAAGCUGCUGUGUCUGUGGUGUAGGCCGGCAGCUGUAGCUCUGAUUAGACCCCUAGCCUGGGAACCUCCACAUGCCGCAGGUAUGGCCAUAAAAAAA